rnacentral:lncRNA from 1 species
GCCUGUCCCAUGUCACCAUCAAUGGUGAUAGUCUGAUCAGUGGUGUCAAUGGAGCCUCAAAAAUGGGUGGCUUUUUCUUGUCUUCCUCUAACGUGAGAAGUCCAAUAAGGAGACAGUGCAUGGAGAGUAAUAUGGUGAAGAGCCGAGUUUCAGUGGAAAACAGCAGGAACCAACCUGUAGGAACAACACAGAGAAAGCCCAGUUUUCCUUAUAAGGUCACGGUGCCAAAACCUCAACACCCAAAUAAAAAUAGUCAUGCAGCUGACAGUGAAGGCCCAGAGGCGUCAGACAGUGCCCAUGAAGUAGUGGACUGUGCACAGACCCAUAAGUUCUACAACAGUCCGAUUGGUCCAUUGAGCCAGAGAAUACAGUCCCUCAGUGUCAGCGCUCUGUCACUAGAGGAGCAGAAGAUCCUGCAGUCACUCGAGAGACUUAAUCAACGCCUGCAAUAUGUGCAAGAUACAGCUGGUGGCAACCCAGCAGUGAAGGGCAUCUUUGCUUUGGGUCCUGCGUUUGUGAGUAUUGCCCAUGUAAUCA